ensembl:lncRNA
AAUGACUGGACAGACAAGAAUAAUGGGAGCAUACACACGACAGCACAGAACUAUAUGUACGUGAAUUUUCUCUCGGAACCAAAGAGCCAGUUACCGAUUGUACACACACGGAAUUCAUUAUGAUCAGACACACAGGCAAGAUGGCGGAGGGAGAUUCAUGGGGUAAGAAUCCACCUGUGUGUGGAAUGGCGUAUUAUUCAAGUUAUACCUCAUCGUUGACAAUUACACAUAUCAGAGAGGAUAGUUUAAGUUUGUAAAAAAAUGUGUGUAUUGUUGGUCUUAGAUGCUGACACUUUUGAUCCGGAUGAGCUUGUUAUCGGGACCAAGAAGGCUGUUGUAGCGGAUAAAUGGGAAGGCGAGGACGAGGAUGACGAUAUCAAGGACAACUGGGAUGAUGACGAGGAGGAAUUGAAAAAAACAGAAGAGAAAAAAGCAGGUAUUUUUUUAAACCACGUGAAUUGAACCAGUGAGAUCUGACUAUAUUAAUUGAAUACAAGCUCAAUCGUUUUUUUUUUCUUCUCUCGUCUUUGUAGCAGAGACAAAACUUUCUGAAAAGAAGAAAUUAGCUGAAAAAAUCAAGGAAAAGGAAAGUUUACAAAUGAAAAAACAAGAAGAGCUGAGAAAGCGGGUAGGUGUUUAAAAAAAAAAGUUGGUGUUUUGCAUACAGGGAUAUUUUUUUCUUGUCGUUGCUAUGGAGUACAUUCGUUAUGGCAACCCAGCUACUGCUAGUUUGCUUAUCAAAAUUCAGCAGAAACUUGACCUUUUUUGCUUUAAGCCAAUUUCCCUGAUUUAUUUGAGUUGUAUUUAUCAAAUUUUAAAGUUUAAUUUUAAAUUACUAGAAGAGACUUUUUAAAUUUUGGUUUGGGCCCAUAUUAGGAAACAAACUGUAUUUCAUCUGGUUUUCCGGACCCAGAUUAAAUAAGCCUCUAAAAUCAGCCUUAAGGGGUUUCACACACUGUCCAUGAAUAACAAAGUCAUUGGCUGCUGGAUCUGAAAGUAUAUUUCUUUGUGUUUGUUUGUUUAGUUAGAGGAAUCACAGGAAACAGAACUCUCACCGGAGGAUGAGCUAGCAGAGAAACUCAGAGUGAAGAAACUACAGGAGGACGCUGAUCUUCUAUUGGCUCAGGAGGCUUUCGGUAAGAGACCUGUAUUACAGGAGGACGCUGAUCUUCUAUUGGCUCAGGAGAACGCUACCUGCGAAGUUUGGUGGAGGAGGAAUAAUGGUCUGAGGAUGUUUUUCAUGGUUCGGGCCCCUUAGUUCCAGUGAAGGGAAAUCUCAACACUACAGCAUACAAUGACUUUCUAGACGAUUCUGUACUUUCAAAUUUGGGGAAGGCUCUUUCAGCAUGAAUACCCCCGUGCACAAAGCGAGGUCCAUGCAGAAAUGGUUAGUCGAUCAGUGUGUUUAGAACUUGACUGCACAGAGACCUGACCUCAAUCCCAUCGAAAGCCUUCGGGAUGAAUUGGAAUGCUGACUGCGGGCCUAAUCGCCCAACAUCAGUGCCCAACCUC